AGAUAUGUACCCACACAAUACGCAUGUCUUAACGACGUUCUGUAGACGUCCUUUUUCUUACGUCUUUGAGACAUUACCUAAAGACGAUGUACAGACGUCUGACGGAUCUUUUGUAAGACGUCACUAAAAGGACUCAUAAAAUCGUCUGCUAUGGCAAUUCUAGAAGAGAUGUAUAACCUACAAUUUCAUUCAGUCAUGCCUAAUUUAGACCGGUGAAUGAUCCUACUGUGAAUAGUUUGACUCAAAUAAUUUUUUUUAAUUGAUAAAAAAAUGAGCCACAAGUAAAAUCAUCCUCCGAUCUAGACAGGGUAUUAAUUGUAGACUGCUUGAAUAAAAUAUUGUAAAACGAAGGGCUUCAAGGAUUUCAAGUUGAUAAGGCAAUGGACUGUGAGAUUAAAUUAACCACUUCACUCAACCGGGUCAAAAAUAACAUUCUUAAUCCAAGUAUGCUUGAACCCAGUGAGCUAAAUAUUAUGAAUAUGCUAGUAGUGUGGCAGCAAAAACGCAGCGAACGCGCAGAAAUCGAGCAUGAUCUGUCGUCACAAUGUGAAAAAAUUUGUACCACGAAAAUGCUAAAAACCCGAUAAGUAUUUGAUUUUUAAUAUACAGG